GAACGCACAUUGCACUCCUUUGGAGUAUGCCUGUUUGAGAAUCUAUAGUAUUUAUUUUUGGUUAUUUCGCAAGAGAUCACCAAGAGAUUUGAGAUGUCUCGUCUUUGGGCGAGUAUCUUUAAUGUUAUAGCCUCUUUUGUGGUAAAACACUCUGCAGAACAGUAUUUGAAUGGGACUAACGUUUCUUUGAUGCCUAAUACGCAGACUUACCUAUUGAAAGGGGGGUCCAUAAACUUAAAGUAGUACCUCGGUGCUGCUUGAACCAUGGUCUCAAAUCAGGUAGGAAGACCCGCUGAACUUAAG
rnacentral:misc_RNA from 1 species